UGGGGUUCAUCAUAAUCUUAGACAUAAUAAGAAGCAGUUAAUAUGAUGAAUUAAUGUCUCAAAUAAUAAUAAAUAUCAUUUCAUGAGUUGAAAAAUUGUAAAGAAAGUCUCAUCGCCACACACUUGCGAUUGGCUUAUAAGAUAUUUUUCUUUCAAUCUCCCACUUGCAUUAAAGCUAAUUGCCUUUGUAUCUCAUACAAUCAAGAUGGCGAUCAUAUAGCUGCUGUGGUAUGGCCUUAGUGAAUGGAUCUGCUAUAUUAUUCUUUCUGUCUACUCAUUUAAGGAUAACAUCUUGUCUCUAACGAGAUGAAAAUAUCUGAGGAUGUGCUUGGAUCUAUAAUGAGACCUAGGUUCCUUAUCUUGAAUAAU
rnacentral:lncRNA from 1 species